rnacentral:rRNA from 1 species
UACGAAGGGUGCAAGCGUUACUCGGAAUUACUGGGCGUAAAGCGUGCGUAGGUGGUUUUUUAAGUCCGUUGUGAAAGCCCUGGGCUCAACCUGGGAAUGGCAGUGGAUACUGGAAAGCUAAAGUGCGGUAGAGGGUAGUGGAAUUCCCGGUGUAGCAGUGAAAUGCGUAGAGAUCGGGAGGAACACCAGUGGCGAAGGCGGCUACCUGGACCAGCACUGACACUGAGGCACGAAAGCGUGGGGAGCAAACAGG